AUGAGACAUUUCAAGGGAAACCUAACUCAACAGGCCAUCACCCAAUUCACGACCCUUUGGAAUGACCUGCAGUCAAUCCAGCUCACUCAAGCUCAUGACGAUUCACUUACCUGGCGCUGGACUAGCAAUGGUCAGUUCUCCUCCAGCUCGGCCUAUGCUGCCACUCUCACUGCCAACAUUAAACCACCAUUUGCGAAGCUCGCCUGGAGCUCGGAUGCCCCGCCCAAAUGCCAGUUUUUCGUUUGGCUAGCUGCGCAAGAUCGAUGUCUAACGGCGGACAACCUUGCUAAGCGAGGAUGGCCCCAUAACCCGCAGUGUGUGCUUUGCCUACAAGAACCAGAAACUGUUGCCCACCUACUUGCUUCUUGUCCUUAUGCGAAGGAAGUAUGGCACAUGACACUCUGCAAGCUGAAUAUGAGCUCUAAUUGGGCAGCAACCGAUGAUGAUUCCCUUGUAAGCUGGUGGCAUCGUACAAAUUCUUCCAUGGGAAAGGAAAAAGCGAAAUCUUGGAGAUCAAUUUUGGCACUGUAUGGUGGAACCUCUGGAAAGAAAGAAAUGAUAGAACCUUCAGAAAUAGUUCUUGCCGCCCCACACAAGUGUUUCAGAAGAUUCAAUUAG
rnacentral:rRNA from 1 species